rnacentral:tRNA from 2 species
CCUUCGAUAGCUCAGUUGGUAGAGCGGUGGACUGUAGAUGAAACAAUUGUUCAUUAUCGAUUUGUACAAUUUUCAAUAGUUAUCCAAAGGUCGCUGGUUCAAAUCCGGCUCGAAGGA